UUUAGGAAAGCCAAUUCCUGAAUGAAUGUUAAAAAAAUAUUGGGAGACCUAAUUUUCAUAGUGAGGAACUUAUACAGAACUAGGACAAUAAUGGUGAAGUUAAUCAACCUUGCAGAGCACACAGUAAUCACCAGAGGGGGGAUCUCCAGAUACUCCAGAUCUCCAUAUUCAGCUCAACACCACACAUACCCAAGUGCUUUUGUUACCUGGGGUCUUCAAGCUUCACAUCCAGGUAAGAAAAACUUCAGAAUAGAUACAAUUAGAGCUAUAACUAUUCCCAGGUAAGUAAAACAGGUAAAAUUGCAAACAAUAGUGUGGGCUCCAUACAAUUACAUUUCUUAAGACGUUUUUAUGUACCAACAACCAAUAGAAGGCAGAUCACCAUUCUGUCUGGUCCCCACAACAAACAGUAAAAAUCACCAAAUAGAGCAGUUUCUUAUUAUCAGGCUGUCAGUUGCCACUAACGUUUUCUCAAUUUUUUUCUGUGAUAAUUUAAGAUCCUGACAUGUGAUGACUAAAAUCCUUAAUCUAGUUAAAUAUACUGUACAAUUAAAAACUACCAGGCUUUAAAAAGUGUAUUAUAAAAAUUAAAUUGGAGAAAGGUCAAUUAAAUGUGCCAUCAGCCCGACACGAUUGGGAUUAUCAUAGUAGGACAGCCCGUGGUCAUAGGUGUGCCAAACCUGUUGAAAGCAUGCUGCCUCCUGUUUGGAUUUACCUAUGCCCUCGACCUCAAGUAUCCCUCAAAACUGGUGUUUACUUUUGAGAUAUAUCAGAGGCUGUUUGUGUGAUUGUACCCCAUGCUUCCUAAUCCAUCAUCCAAGUAUACAAAUCUCCUCACCAGAUUGUUUUAGAUGAUUUCUCAAUGGCAUCUGGCAUUGUUUGCCAUCAUUUGAAAAAAUGCAAUCACUUUGGUAGGUGAGUUUACCAAAUACCAACUUAAACGUUUUCUUUCUUUUUUUGUUUGUUCUUGACCUUAAGACUCAUUUGACGGCCGGGUACAAGUUGCUCAGGUAAUAUAAUUUCCAUGGUUAUUUUCCUUUUGUGUUCAUUGUUCUGUGCCUUAAUUAAUGUGGACUUUGGACUGUGUUCUGUGCCGAUCAUUACCUCAUGAGGUAUACAGUAUACUCAACUCAACAGUGUUGUGUGCACAAUUUGGGAGUUAUUAAAUAAUAAUAGUUGUUCGAAAUAUAUAAAUACAUACUGUAAUAAUUUUUGACAUUGCAGUUCCAGUGUGAUACAAUGUGAUUUUAUGGCUCACAUUUACCUUUAUCUAAACAUUGCAGAUUGGGCAGUUUGGAUAUUUCACUUUACUGUUCAGAACAGGUUGAAAUUACACUUAUAACGUGUUUGUUUUAUAUUAUUGUGUACAUGUGUGACCACAUUUAUUGGCUGUUUUGCAUUCACUGUUACAAGUUACAUUGAAUAAAUGUUAUUGUCUUCAAUCUAUCUUCCCAUCUCUUUCUUCUUCAAUACGCCCUUUUCACAAUGACGUCACUUAACUUCUGCCUUUUUGCAAAGCAGUGUAUCAUAACAUCCGUCUUGCAACAAACAAGAAGAACAAGAAGAAGAAGAACUUCCGUUUUGCUGUCGCGCUGGAAUUUAACAACAGUGAGGAAAAAAACGGACAGAACACGUAUUCAAGUACUUAUCCUAGCACCAUCGCUAACACACACACACACGCACGCACGCACGCACGCACACACACACAAAAAAACACCUUCAUAAUCAAACAGGUACUGUUCAACGAAGAAUUUGUAUCCUUUCUCUAGCUUUGAUCUUGUCGUUAGCGAAAAUUUGUCUGCAAGACGUUGUACAUCAUACGUAUUUGUGGCAGAUGUGCAAGCCACUUGGUAAACUCCAUUCUGAGGAGCUAGCGGAAGUAACUUCUUCUUCUUGAGUUUUACUGGCGGUUGGCAAACCAGCUUAUAGGUGCAUUACCGCCACCUUAUGAACUGGAGUGCUAGCGGAAGUAAUGAUACACUGCUUCGUGGCAGAACGGAAGAUGCGUGACGUCAUGUGAAAAGGGCGUAUUGAAUUUGUAAUUGUUAUUGACAAAGUCUGUUUAUGUAAAGUUAAUCAUUGAAGUGCCUAGAAUAUAGACCUUUAGAUUUCUUUUCUGAGGUUAUAGCCAGGACUCAAUUAAAACGUUUAUUCACAUAUGAUUAGGUUAAUUUUACUAAGAACAUAAAGUUCAUAAAACCUCAUUAAAAUGAGUACAGGUUACUUGUAGCAACCCAUAAAUAAGUUACCUGUACCAAGAAAAUUAGGUUUAUCUAACUGAGUAAUACUAGUACUAUUAGUUAACUCAACUUGAUUUUGUUGCGUUUGUAUUAGGUAAUGUUACAGUGUUUAUUAUACUUAAAAAAGGUUGCAAGUUGACUCAACUUAAAACAUCCAAUGCAGCCACUUGCCUCACUUUUUAUAAGUUAGAUCUAGGUAUUACUUUUUACAGUGUAUAUGAAAAGUGGCAAUUCUUAUUCAGUUCAAUUUUACUUAUAUAUAGCGCUUUUCAAAAAAGUCAUUGUUGCUAAGCAGAUUUACAUACAUCAUAAUUAAAAAGGGAAAAAUUAAAGACAGUAUGUGGUAUUAAGAUACAUGGUAUAAUUAAGUUUUUCUCUAUGCAAUGUACACUCAUGAA